rnacentral:lncRNA from 1 species
CCCUUCCCCUUCCCCCUAACCCCCCUCCCGCCCUCAUACACACACUCAAGGGUCUCCUCCCGUACAGUCAAGAAAGUGGAAGGAGCCAAAGGGAGGGAGCCAGUCAUCUGAAGGAGCUCGUCUCGACGACACGUUUCAAGAUGAACUUUGGGCAUGCAAUUGCGCUGCUUUUGGCGCUUCUGAUGGUCGUUCAUCAUGCAUUUGCAAAUCCGUUUCUCAGGAUAAAGACGCCGAUUGAUUCGUUCUCGUUCGACUUUAAGAACCAAUUCAACAAAUUCUGGUCUCGAUGGAGGCCUCACCAGGACGAUCGCUAUUGGCACGGCUUCGACAUCGAUGGUUAUACGAAGAAUGGUUAGGACUUCGGCCCUUUUGCAGGAACUUCGUGGUACUUUCUGAUCUGCAACCCGGCUUCAGCGACGUUGAAAGUUCUCGAAGACACGAAGAAAAAGACAAUGCACGACAUUUAUUCAUAUGAUCAUCAUAAAAAGGUGUUGAUAAUCCUGCCUCCUCAUUGUUGCAUAUCAAUCGUAUCAUGACAUCGUGUGCAAUACACUUUAUGGUUUCAUACUCGUCAUUCUUGCAUUAAUUUUUCAUCCUUGUGACUUAUGACAUAUGUGAAUGUUAAGUGAGAAAAAAAAAUGUUAUGAUGUAGUAACGAGGAUAAAUUGUUUUUUAAGUGGAUCCUAAAUCUAUCUACAUUAUUUUAUA